AUACUCGCUGUGGCAGCACAUAUACUAAAAUUGGAACAACACAGAGAAGAUUAGCAUGGUGCCUGCACAUGGAUGACAUACAAAUUUAUGAAGUGUUCCAUAUUUUU
rnacentral:snRNA from 1 species